rnacentral:rRNA from 1 species
CUACGGGGGGCAGCAGUGGGGAAUAUUGGACAAUGGGCGAAAGCCUGAUCCAGCAAUGCCGCGUGUGUGAAGAAGGCCUGCGGGUUGUAAAGCACUUUCAGUUGGGAAGAUUAUGACGGUACCAACAGAAGAAGCACCGGCUAACUCUGUGCCAGCAGCCGCGGUAAUACAGAGGGUGCAAGCGUUAAUCGGAAUUACUGGGCGUAAAGCGCGCGUAGGUGGCUUGUUAAGUCGGAUGUGAAAGCCCUGGGCUCAACCUGGGAAUUGCAUUCGGUACUGGCAGGCUAGAGUAUGAUAGAGGGAAGUGGAAUUCCAGGUGUAGCGGUGAAAUGCGUAGAUAUCUGGAGGAACAUCAGUGGCGAAGGCGACUUCCUGGAUCAAUACUGACACUGAGGUGCGACAGCGUGGGGAGCAAACAGGAUUAGAUACCCUUGUAGUC